rnacentral:rRNA from 1 species
CCCGGCGGCCGUAGCGCGGUGGUCCCACCUGACCCCAUGCCGAACUCAGAAGUGAAACGCCGUAGCGCCGAUGGUAGUGUGGGGUCUCCCCAUGUGAGAGUAGGAACCGCCAGGU